UUAGUUCACAUGCCUUCCGGGUACCUGCCUUGACGUCACUCCACCUCACAUAUUGUAUUCCGAUUAUAUAUUCCUGAGGAAACAGCAACCAAAUAUUCGGCUACUACUAAUCUUUACUUCUUGUUCUUUGGCCUCUCAUUCUACAUCUUACUGUGAAACAGAUAUCGGUCCAUACACACCGAGGAAAUCUUGGUCCACAUAUGCUGAUGCCAGAACGGUCCCGGUUCAUAUACACCGCUUGUUACUACUAUGGUCGGUUGCCAAGGACAACCCCGAAUUUUGGAGCCUAAGUCCAAGUAUCAGGGACUGUAUUCCCUCUGAUUUACUUACUUUCCUUUUUUCUGCUGCCUUUACAUACUACGGCCGGUUGCUAGGGGCAACCACAAGGUAUGGAACCCCAGCCCUAGCAACAGUGACCGCACUUCCCUUUGUUUACUUACCUGCUCUGUGUAUGCUGUGUUUACUUUCAGCCCUCACUAGACCUUUUGCUGUCCCCCAGGAAUGGAUACAUUAUGCCUUUAUUUAAUAUUAUUCAAUCAAGCUAUAUACACCCUGUGAUCUAUACAGCGAUAUUGAUAUGGCCUCAUUUUUCGCAUGGGGAUAAUCCUCACUGACAGGAUAUGAACUUAUCUGAGCAUGCGCAAGCCACGUCUAAGUCCGGAGUCGGGUUGCCAUGGAUGCGAGGACGCGCUCCUG